UGACCAAAAAAACCAUGUAAUAGCCUCCAAAGAAAAAAGAAAACCCAUGAUGGAAUAUAUCGCUGGUAGAUAUACAAAAAACCAUUUCUCUAGGCUUAGAGUCAUGAAUUAGCUUCAAGAUAGUCCUGAAUUGAAAAUCACCAUCCUAGGCCAGAUUCCCCUUUCCAGAUAGCAUCCCUUAAAAAAAAAAAAAUCCAGUACCAUGGAUGCCACACUAGAAUUAAAUAAGAAUAAAAGACAAGAAUCGAGCCAACAAUUAUAUCAAAAACUACAGGCCCAACAAUUAAUCAUCCAACACAUGGGGCUCAGCGAUGCAGUGAAUAGAACAAAGACGUCUCCAAAGAGGAACAUGUUAACAAAAUUGACCAUAUCUAGGCGUUUAAUCCUACAAUACUUAAACUUCAUAAAAGAAGUCCAUAGAGAACGCUGGUUAUGAAAGCUUCAACUCGAGAGCCUUGGACAAAUUAGCAAAUGAUCAAAAGCCCAAACCACCCUUUUCAACUAGAUAACAAAUUGAGCCAUCUACAUUAAUGAAUCUAUCUCUUAAUAUUUGUAUCACCCCAUAAGAAACGAGUGACAAGUCUUUCCAAAUGCUAAAUAAUAGCCAAGUUGACCAAAGGACAUGAAACGAAUACAAAGGCAUAGAGGACAACACAUGGUGAAGAAGCAUCAAUUUCCACCAUAGGAAAGCAAUUGAUUAGCCCAAUUAGAGAUCUUGUCACCGACCUUCUGAAUCAUAUCAUCAAAGUAAGUAUUCUUAAGGAAUCCCCUAUAAACCAAGCAUCUAAAAUAAGUGAUUGGCAUGGCAAAAAAUUGUGUAAUAGAGUGGACAACGGCAUAGCGAGAAGUCGAAGCUAAACAUUUAAUAUAAAAACUACUCUUAGCCUGACUAAUCAACUAGCCUAGAACUGCCUCAGCCUCAUAGUGAUGAAGGAAGUCUAUAAGCCGCAAAAGGCUCUACAUUAGAAAAAAUAAUAAUGUUAUCAACAAAACCCUAAUGGGAGACAAGAUUAGGCUGCGCCGUGUCGUGCAACAGUGUAGAAGAAUAGUAAGAAUACAAACGAUCUAAACCCCGAGAAAGAAACUUAACAGUAGUAAUAAACAAGCAUAGGAAAAGAGGACCGCCCUACCCAAGAUCAUCCUGAGAUUGGAAAAAUCAGUGGCUAACCUAAUUCACCACCAUCGAGCACUGGGACCUAAAAAUAACUCUUUGAAUCAAAGAAAUCCGCUGCUCUAAGAAUCCAAGACACCUUCACAUCUGUAUAAUAGAAGACUAAGACAACCGAUCAUACGCUUUGGCCAUGUCCAACUUCAGCACCACAUUGCUCUUCCGAUAACGAUGGUUCAAGUCGUGUGAUGCUGAAGCUUCAGUUGAGGUUUUAUUUUUAUUUCUUACUUCUAUUUAUGUUUAACAAGAGUAAUUUUGAAAAUAGGUAGGGGCUUGCGAGAUUAUUUGAGAUUCAAAUAUCAC
rnacentral:lncRNA from 1 species